AGUCCAUGGUGUGGGCAACAUCUUAGUAGGUCAUUGUAUCUCUCCCAGGUGUCUUACAUCGACUCAUCAUCAAACAACACAAAAGAAGAUAUGUCAUUUCUAAGUUU
rfam:Ricinus communis cultivar Hale ctg_1100012359236, whole genome shotgun sequence.